UGCGCAGGCGGUCCCGCAAGUCAGGCGUGAAAUCCCCGGGCUUAACCUGGGAAUGGCACUUGAAACUACGGGACUAGAGUGUGGCAGAGGGAGGUGGAAUUCCACGUGUAGCGGUGAAAUGCGUAGAUAUGUGGAGGAACACCAAUGGCGAAGGCAGCCUCCUGGGUCAACACUGACGCUCAUGCACGAAAGCGUGGGGAGCAAACAGGAUUAGAUACCCUGGUAGUCCACGCCCUAAACGAUGAUGACUAGUUGUUGGAGGAGUUAAAUCCUUUAGUAACGCAGCUAACGCGAGAAGUCAUCCGCCUGGGGAGUACGGUCGCAAGAUUAAA
rnacentral:rRNA from 1 species